GGGGCGGGGUCCCGGCCGUCCUACCGCCCCAUGGUGGCGAGUGUCGAGCGUGGAGGAUUUAGGCGGAGGGCGCAGGGAAGGAGGAAGGAAGAGAGGGGCUCCGCGGCAGCCCGGCCUGCGCUGCCAGGAGAGAGUAACGGGAGCGGGCCUAUGUUGCAGUCCUAAAAACACUGGAAGACUGAUUGACAGGAAGGUGCUAAGGAAAUACUACAUGACAAGAUGGACUGCAGAUCUCCUAGCUGGGCCUUAAAGUAGAAGAUUAUAUUUAGUCUUCUGCUAAGAAGUACGAUGCAUUUAGAAGACUAUGACCAUAAACAGCAAAGGAUAUAAAUUCUCUUAUUCCUCUCUUGGAAGAACUCCAAACUGCCUCCCUCUGCUAUUACUCUCUAUUUCCUAAGGCAGAUUUUUGAAAAGACAAUAAAGUAGUAUGUGGUAUUACA
rnacentral:lncRNA from 1 species